rnacentral:rRNA from 1 species
UACGAAGGGGGCUAGCGUUGCUCGGAAUCACUGGGCGUAAAGCGCACGUAGGCGGAUUGUUAAGUCAGGGGUGAAAGCCUUGAGCUCAACUCAAGAAAUGCACUCGGUACUGGGUGACUAGAGGACCGGAGAGGAUAGUGGAAUUCCCAGUGUAGUGGUGAAAUACGUAGAGAUUGGGAAGAACACCAGUGGCGAAGGCGGCUAUCUGGACGGUUUCUGACGCUAAGACGCGAAAGCGUGGGGAGCAAACAGG